UUCUGUUCACGCCAAAUUCAGGAAAUUACACGACUCAAUGAUCUUGGAAAUGAGUUGUUUUGAAUCUUCUCUAUAUUAAAAAGCGAGAAAAUGAUCUAAUAAUACUACUUAAAACUAUAUAUUACAAAACAUAAGGAUAUUUUUCUUUAUUUACAAAAUAUAACGGAUUUGAAAAAAUAAAAGCCCACCCUUCCAUUCUCUUUUUCUCAGCCACCCACCUUUCCCUUCCCCUUAGAUGCAGCCCCUACCCUUCCCUUAGGGUUUUCUCCCUAGAAUAAUAUCCUAUACUGUUUUGUAAUCUCGUUCGAAUAUCCACACCACAUACAGACCCACCAUAGCAGAUCCCCAGAGAAGAAGAGACACACCACAAGUGUUUCAAUGGGUGCUUACACUUAUGUGUAAUCUCGUUCGAAUAUAACUUCAAAAGAAAAUAAUGGCCAGAGAAGAUGAACGGAAAAUAUAUAUAUUUCAUGCGAAAAUGUGUCAUCUCAAACUUCUAACUUCAGGCUGAUUUGCACAAAUAACCACUUUUGCGACGAUGAUGAUGACUGCAACGAUGAUGACGAGCACUUUACUGUUUUACCUCAUUGUAAUUUCCUGUUUUACCUCAUGUAUAACAAAAGAAAAUCUAUAUUUUCUGAUUUUGUUAGAAAAUAAAGAGAUUUGUAUUAGUAUUGUAUGAAAGUUGUAUACAAUGUUAUUGUAGUUGUAUUGAAUUUCAACCGAAUUUCGAAGCGAGAUUAGAAAUUGCAUUAAAUUAAUAUGAAUAUUGUAUAAAAGUUGUACACAAUG